AAUUUAUUUACGCAAAACUUAAGUGAAAGGCUUGAAUUUCCAGUGAGCAAGGAAAAUAAAUUGAGAUGACUGUCAAGUUCAAAAUUGCAAUUAAUGUUGGAAUUUACUAUUCUAUGCGCAUAUAGAUGUAAUAGAUCGGGUUAAUAAUUCAUAGCAUUUGGACCAUCAAAGUUCAUUUAGGACCAUUAUAUUGGGUUGCCCAAAAAGUAAUUGCGGAUUUUUUAAAAGAAACAAGCUAAAAGUAACAGCUGAUAACUGAGAGAAGAAAGAAUGUAAUUACAGAGUCACAAGCUGUGGAAAAAUUAGUCAACGCCGACUAUAUGAAAAAUCCGCAAUUACUUUUUGGGCAACCCAAUAGAACAUUUCUUGCUUCAUAUUUUUCUAAGAACCCAUCCUAUGUUCCUAGCAAGCAAGAACUGUUAACGGUUCUUUGUCAAUGUACCUUUUUUUUAAAUUGCUUUUGUACACACAAAUGAUCGAAUUCAGCAGUUUUGUU